UCCCUGGUAGUAUAUCGGUUAGUACACGCGCCUGUCAUGUGAUCUGGUUAUAGAAUUGUUGGCCGCGCGAAAGCUGGGUUCGACUCCCAGCCAGGGAG
rnacentral:tRNA from 1 species